UUCAAAACCAAUGAUAUUAAUGUGGUCUGUGCUAAAGACUGCGAUGCUCUGUCACCUUGAUUUUGCUGAUGAGAUGGCCUCACAAGUGACUUUAAGCAUGCCAAGAGUUGUUCUAAUUACAGAUGAUUAAAGCACUGCACAUAUGAUUAUGACCUCUUACCCUACUCUACCUACCUUGUGAAUACCAAAAGAGGAUCAGCUGGAAAUUUUGCUGCUAAGAGAACUUGCACUACAACUGCUUACAUAUGGCCUAAAAUAAAUUGUCAUUUGCAAAGAAAACUGGGUCAUCCUACUUCAAAUAUGGUGAGGGAGAACCAAAAUAAAAUAUAUGGGGAAUCUGGUAUGAAUAGAUGAAUGAAAUGAGUAAGAGUGAUAGGUAAGAAUACAACAGUUACACAGGAGCUGUCUUAAUGAGCACAGCUCCCAUUCAUCAUGUUCUCCUCUCAGCUUCCUCAAUUACUUUCAGAAUAACUGUCUUUUUGUAAAUAGCUAAUUUAAUGGAGCAAUAUUUCAUGUUUAUAUUGUUCCUUUUCUUAAAGAAACUACAGUUGUUCACAUGACACUGGUCUGAAGAGCUUUCUUUGAAGUCAGUAGUAAGUAUAGAAUGACUGAAUGAAUCAGACUUUUUUUUUGGUAGGGUAUAGAAGCUGAAUUACUCCUCAUAGACUGUGAAAUGCUUGCAAAUACUGGAAUAGAACUCAGCUAAUUAUCUGUCAUUGAGGAAAUCCAGUGAAGAAAGAAAGUGAGGUUUUGAAGAGUCAGCAGAGACAAGAAAGUGCUUCCACAGAACAAUCUUCCUCCUCUGUGACAAAGCUCCACAUUAGGAUAAAAUGGACUGUGCUGAGCUUCCGCUGAAUAUAGUCACCACAGACGAGGAAAACCAAGAGAGUGAUCUCAGAUACAGACCACAUGGGUUGGAGUCCUCCAAGGUCAGGCCCUCUGCCACACUUACCAAUGGCCAGGACUGUACAAAUUAUGGCAUGGCUACAGACAAAGGAGAAGAUUCUGCCUCUACCACCUGGCCCCAUGUAUAUUGUGGAAAAACAAGGAUUCUAACUGCACUACAGCACAGCCCUAUCCUACCAGCAAAAGGUGCUUCUGGUAUUGAAAGUCGAGCAGAUGAAGCAGACUCUUCCUGA
ensembl:lncRNA